rnacentral:tRNA from 1 species
GCGCGGGUAGCUCAGUGGUAGAGCGUUCGAUUUGAGCUCGAAAGGGUCACUGGUUUCAAUCCCGGGCCCGCGCC